rnacentral:rRNA from 1 species
GGGUGUGAUCAUACCAACAUUAAUGCAUCGGAUCCUAUCAGAACUAAACAGUUAAGCACGCUUGGGCUAGAGUAGUAAUGGGAUGGGUGACCUCCCAGGUAGUCCUAGUGUUGCACCCU